CCACGCUGCAAUUUGGGCUGCAAUUUAUCCGAGCACUCUGCGACCUUGACAGUGUUUCUCUAAAAAUCCGGUCUAUUUUCCAUUUCUAAGGAUCAUCAAAUAAUAUUUCGAAGCCAUGGGAGGUUUAUUAGAUGAAAAGACGUUGCCCAAGUUUACAGGAGCCUCAUACUACUUCAAUUCUUUUACAAGAAGAGGGAGAAUGAAUUGGGUGAUUGCAACCUACAGCUCCCUGUUUGUGGGCUACCUGGUGUUCGGUAGAAAGAAGAAGACGGCUGCUAUCGAUGCAAAGAAGUAACGUUAGGAAUUAUUAGAACAUUCCAUUUGUACAUUUAGAACUUUGACUUUAAAAAGGAUAAUGCUCCAGAGGAUGGAUUUGCUAGAUUAGAAUUCUCUUAAAUAAAUUUGUGACAUAACUGUUUUGAGUUACCAUAGAUUUGGAGUAUGGCAACAACCUAUCUGAGUUUCUUUGACUAUUUGCUCUUGUG